UAGUAAGCUUGUGUGUAUCAGUGAGCUUGUAGUGUGCUUGUGUGUUUGUCAGUGAGCUUGUAGUGGGCUUGUGUGUGUAUCAGUGAGCUUGUAGUGGGCUUUUGUGUGUAUCAGUGAGCUUGUAGUGUGCAUCAGUGAGCUUGUAGUGUGCUUGUGUGUGUAUCAGUGAGAUUGUAGUGUGCUUGUGUGUAUCAGUAAGCUUGUGGUAAGCUUGUGUGUAUCAAUUAGCUUGUGUGCUUGUGUGUGUAUCAGCUAGUUUGUAGUUAGUUUGUGUUUGUCAGUGAGUUUGUAGUGUGCUUGUGUGUGUAUCAGCUAGCUUGUAGUGUGCUUGUAUCAGUGAGCUUGUAGUGUGC